ACUCGGGCACGAUCUUCGCGCUCGCUUCUCGUCGCGAGAGGCGCGGAGAACCGACCCGUAGUUCAAUCCUGAGGGA
rnacentral:ncRNA from 2 species